GUUCUUUGUUUUUCCUCCUCGAGGUAUUUUUUCUCAGCCCACAUCUGUCGAUCUGGAACAAGCCUGAAGGGAGUUUGACUCUGCCUCAUCCAGCCUCACUGAGUUUUCAGUUCCCAGACUCUGUCCUCAGUGGAACUAUGGGUUCUAGCAGAGAUGGAAGGAAUGAAGGACAACGGUUGUAUUACUGCUAAGAUUGGCCACUUCUUUUAGCACAAUACCCAGGUGCUUUUGGAUCUAUAGAGCCUCUCUUCUCUUUGCCUUAACAAAGAGUCCUAGCAGUCGUCUCUGCUUGGAAUGUGCCCGGGCUCCAGGACGUCAGUGGUCAUGUGCUUCAUGGGACUGGGGGAUGAAUGGAGGACACAGCUUUGCCAACAACAGACAACACUGUUUCCAUAAGUGUGGCCCAAUUCAAUACACAGACACUGGCCCUCUCGGUGCAUGUCUCCAUGACUUCAUUCCCAGGAGCAGGAACUGGGACAGGCAGCUUGAACUGACUUCGUGAAGCCUGACAACUUGAGCACUCGAAAUUGUUUCAAGGAAUGGCGGAGCCCGGAUUGUGGUCUGCGAUGCUCAUGCUUCCUGGACUGUCUGAGCCAGCCCCCCGGAGGAGGCCUUUUCAAAAAGGAGUGGCAAGUAUCAUUUAGUGUUUGCUUAGUAGUUUUUGAUGCUAAACCCAUAAUUUCAACCAUUAUUUUUAACAAGGGCCCCUUUGCCAUCUAGCU
rnacentral:lncRNA from 1 species